rnacentral:rRNA from 1 species
CCCCGGAAGGGGAGUGAAAUAGAACCUGAAACCGUGUGCUUACAAGUAGUCAGAGCCCGUUAAUGGGUGAUGGCGUGCCUUUUGUAGAAUGAACCGGCGAGUUACGAUUUGAUGCAAGGUUAAGCAGUAAAUGUGGAGCCGUAGCGAAAGCGAGUCUGAAUAGGGCGUUUAGUAUUUGGUCGUAGACCCGAAACCAGGUGAUCUACCCUUGGUCAGGUUGAAGUUCAGGUAACACUGAAUGGAGGACCGAACCGACUUACGUUGAAAAGUGAGCGGAUGAACUGAGGGUAGCGGAGAAAUUCCAAUCGAACCUGGAGAUAGCUGGUUCUCUCCGAAAUAGCUUUAGGGCUAGCCUCAAGUGAUGAUUAUUGGAGGUAGAGCACUGUUUGGACGAGGGGCCCCUCUCGGGUUACCGAAUUCAGACAAACUCCGAAUGCCAAUUAAUUUAACUUGGGAGUCAGAACAUGGGUGAUAAGGUCCGUGUUCGAAAGGGAAACAGCCCAGACCACCAGCUAAGGUCCCAAAAUAUAUGUUAAGUGGAAAAGGAUGUGGCGUUGCCCAGACAACUAGGAUGUUGGCUUAGAAGCAGCCAUCAUUUAAAGAGUGCGUAAUAGCUCACUAGUCGAGUGACACUGCGCCGAAAAUGUACCGGGGCUAAACAUAUUACCGAAGCUGUGGAUUGUCCUUUGGACAAUGGUAGGAGAGCGUUCUAAGGGCGUUGAAGCAUGAUCGUAAGGACAUGUGGAGCGCUUAGAAGUGAGAAUGCCGGUGUGAGUAGCGAAAGACGGGUGAGAAUCCCGUCCACCGAUUGACUAAGGUUUCCAGAGGAAGGCUCGUCCGCUCUGGGUUAGUCGGGUCCUAAGCUGAGGCCGACAGGCGUAGGCGAUGGAUAACAGGUUGAUAUUCCUGUACCACCUAUAAUCGUUUUAAUCGAUGGGGGGACGCAGUAGGAUAGGCGAAGCGUGCGAUUGGAUUGCACGUCUAAGCAGUAAGGCUGAGUAUUAGGCAAAUCCGGUACUCGUUAAGGCUGAGCUGUGAUGGGGAGAAGACAUUGUGUCUUCGAGUCGUUGAUUUCACACUGCCGAGAAAAGCCUCUAGAUAGAAAAUAGGUGCCCGUACCGCAAACCGACACAGGUAGUCAAGAUGAGAAUUCUAAGGUGAGCGAGCGAACUCUCGUUAAGGAACUCGGCAAAAUGACCCCGUAACUUCGGGAGAAGG